UUGGGGAUGUUACAGACUUUUGAGAAAGAUCACCAGCUCCACAAUGAGACAGUAAAUCUAGUGGGAGGAUCUUCUUCGGGUAGUCAUUAUCCCUUUAAGAAUGGAAAAAAGAAGAAGAAUAAGAAGGUGGCUGGUGCUGGGAGUCAAUCCCAGAAACCCACGUUCAAGACUGAUCUAAGUUAGGUAGAGUGCUUCUUUUACAAGAAGUAGGAUCACU
rnacentral:lncRNA from 1 species